ACAACCUUAACUUUAAGGAUUAGAGACUAACAAAGAAAAACACUAUGGAAAGCUUAAAGGAGGAAACAUUGUUAAAAGGAUUGAAGACUUACUUUUACAAAGGAAGAUAACUUAAGAGUCUUGAGAGAAUUAGUGUGGUUCUACCUUUGGAAGAUGGAGCAAGGAGGUGGUAGCAGUCAAGGAGGACAAUAAGGAGUAAUAGAGCAACAUCACUGUAUUAUAUGCUUAAUUAUGUACAUUGAUACUUAAUAUGUAUGCUUGUAAGUAUUAUAUGUUAAAUUUCCAACUCUUUUAUGCUUAG